rnacentral:rRNA from 1 species
AGCAUGUGGUUUAAUUCGAUGCAACGCGAAGAACCUUACCUACUCUUGACAUCCAGAGAAUUUGCUAGAGAUAGCUUAGUGCCUUCGGGAACUCUGAGACAGGUGCUGCAUGGCUGUCGUCAGCUCGUGUUGUGAAAUGUUGGGUUAAGUCCCGCAACGAGCGCAACCCUUAUCCUUUGUUGCCAGCGAGUAAUGUCGGGAACUCAAAGGAGACUGCCGGUGAUAAACCGGAGGAAGGUGGGAUGACGUCAAGUCAUCAUGGCCCUUACGAGUAGGGCUACACACGUGCUACAAUGGCAUAUACAAAGAGAAGCGAACUCGCGAGAGCAAGCGGACCUCAUAAAGUAUGUCGUAGUCCGGAUUGGAGUCUGCAACUCGACUCCAUGAAGUCGGAAUCGCUAGUAAUCGUAGAUCAGAAUGCUACGGUGAAUACGUUCCCGGGCCUU